CUCUUAUCUUAAAAUUCAUGUUAUAAACAUACACAAUAAAUUUUCUGAUUAUAUCAUGGAAAUUGAUAAUAUAUCAAGAACCGACUAUGUUAACAUUUUGGAUAUAGUUUUCUAAAAAAAUUCGUAAAACCCAUUCUUAUGAACGCAUCUAUAACAAGCUGCUGCUUUGACCUAGGAUUUGUAUAGUAAGAUCUUACUAUACAAAUCCUUGCUUUGACACAUUCCCUGUUUCCAUUCUCUAUUUUAUUUCAGUUUUGAUACGUUAGCUGGUUGUUACAAUUAACAACGUGUCUUUUGUUUUAAGCUUUAUAUUAUUAUUUUUUUAAUUAGAUUUUUUAUUAUCAUUUUUUUUUCGAGGAAUGAUGGGGAUUUGUUUAAAAAAUCUGGGUGUGUGUUAAUACCACUUAACAUUUCGCUCAAGUAAUAAUUGUAGGUCGGUUUUUGUCUUUUUUUUUCUUUUCGUAAUUUGAAUCUUUGAUAUAAAAGUUUGCCAGUUAAAUAAAUAUAGCUCUCCAUUCUUUUGCUCAUUCGAUAAAUCGGCAAUCGUUUACUCGAGCAACAUUCAUCAAUUUGAAAGUCGUCACGUCACAAGCAUAACAUAAAUGUGUUUUAAUUGAGUUAUAAUAAAAGAUGAUGUUAACGGCAAUGAGACAGCAACCAAAUGACAGAAAUAACCAAAUAACGCCUAGAUAUGGCAAUACUCAGUCUACAUGGUCCUGGCUUGGAACGAAUAUAUAUAAUCAUAGAAUUCGGUCAUAUUAUUCGUACAUAAACAUAAGUUGCAUUUAAAGAAAUAAGUGUGUUUUUCUCUACAACAAUUAUUUUGACCCAAUCCAAUACUAUAUGUUAACGAAGGAACCAUAGGACGUUAGGCUAUAUUACAAUUCAAUCCCAUUGUAAUAUUAUGAAUAGUUAUCAAUAAAAUGUCUAUACACGUAAAGAAAGUAAUGCUUACGACCAGAAAUGGUUGUCUUGUGAUAGCCCGUACAGACGCGGCUCGUUUUUUUCUGACAUGAACGCAAACUGAAGUUAUUCAGGUCCUAUAACCAUAAAAGUACAAUACUUAAUACAAAUUUCAAACUUUAAUAACUUGUAAGCCUAUGAACUCAAGUUGUGAAUACUAGUGCGCAAAAUCUACUUAAAAGGGUUGUGGGAUACAAGAGAAGUUGGAACAAUACGUUUUGAACUCAGUACUAAUACUCCUAUAGAGAAUGACAUACAAAGAAGCCUAGUGUUGGUCAUAAGAAUAGCCCAGAUUCUUCGUUGAUUGAUAUAAAAUGAUCAAUCAUAUUUUAUAUUCUUAUUUUUGAUGGCGUAGUCCGUCGGGUCAAUCUUUCAAAACAGAUAGGCUGCAGACACC
rnacentral:lncRNA from 1 species